UUCUUACAUCGAGAGUUGGGGUGACGCUCCAACGCCAACCUGCCGUUCCGGGCAAGGUGGUGCUUGAACCAGGUGACUGGAACAAGGAUGUGGCCGAUCGGGCAACGAAACGGACACAG
rnacentral:ncRNA from 1 species